CUAGCUGUAAACGAUGGAUACUAGGCGUUGAGAGUAUCGACCCUCUCAGUGUCGUAGCUAACGCGUUAAGUAUCCCGCCUGAGGAGUACGCGCGCAAGCGUGAAACUCAAAGGAAUUGACGGGGGCCCGCACAAGCGGUGGAGUAUGUGGUUUAAUUCGAUGCAACGCGAAGAACCUUACCAGGGCUUGACAUGUCCGGAACCCUGCCCAAAGGCGGGGGUGCCUACGGGAACCGGAACACAGGUGGUGC
rnacentral:rRNA from 1 species